rnacentral:rRNA from 1 species
UACAGAGGUCUCAAGCGUUGUUCGGAUUCAUUGGGCGUAAAGGGUGCGUAGGCGGCGCGGUAAGUCGGGUGUGAAAUUUUGGAGCUUAACUCCGAAACUGCAUUCGAUACUGCCGUGCUUGAGGACUGGAGAGGAGACUGGAAUUUACGGUGUAGCGGUGAAAUGCGUAGAUAUCGUAAGGAAGACCAGUGGCGAAGGCGGGUCUCUGGACAGUUCCUGACGCUGAGGCACGAAGGCCAGGGGAGCAAACGGG